rnacentral:rRNA from 1 species
GACGAACGCUGGCUGCGUGCUUAACACAUGCAAGUCGAACGGAAAGGCCCUGCUUUUGUGGGGUGCUCGAGUGGCGAACGGGUGAGUAACACGUGAGUAACCUGCCCUUGACUUUGGGAUAACUUCAGGAAACUGGGGCUAAUACCGGAUAGGAGCUCCUGCUGCAUGGUGGGGGUUGGAAAGUUUCGGCGGUUGGGGAUGGACUCGCGGCUUAUCAGCUUGUUGGUGGGGUAGUGGCUUACCAAGGCUUUGACGGGUAGCCGGCCUGAGAGGGUGACCGGCCACAUUGGGACUGAGAUACGGCCCAGACUCCUACGGGAGGCAGCAGUGGGGAAUAUUGCACAAUGGGCGGAAGCCUGAUGCAGCAACGCCGCGUGCGGGAUGACGGCCUUCGGGUUGUAAACCGCUUUCGCCUGUGACGAAGCGUGAGUGACGGUAAUGGGUAAAGAAGCACCGGCUAACUACGUGCCAGCAGCCGCGGUGAUACGUAGGGUGCGAGCGUUGUCCGGAUUUAUUGGGCGUAAAGGGCUCGUAGGUGGUUGAUCGCGUCGGAAGUGUAAUCUUGGGGCUUAACCCUGAGCGUGCUUUCGAUACGGGUUGACUUGAGGAAGGUAGGGGAGAAUGGAAUUCCUGGUGGAGCGGUGGAAUGCGCAGAUAUCAGGAGGAACACCAGUGGCGAAGGCGGUUCUCUGGGCCUUUCCUGACGCUGAGGAGCGAAAGCGUGGGGAGCGAACAGGCUUAGAUACCCUGGUAGUCCACGCUGUAAACGGUGGGUACUAGGUGUGGGGUCCAUUCCACGGGUUCCGUGCCGUAGCUAACGCUUUAAGUACCCCGCCUGGGGAGUACGGCCGCAAGGCUAAAACUCAAAGGAAUUGACGGGGCCCCGCACAAGCGGCGGAGCAUGCGGAUUAAUUCGAUGCAACGCGUAGAACCUUACCUGGGUUUGACAUGGAUCGGGAGUGCUCAGAGAUGGGUGUGCCUCUUUUGGGGUCGGUUCACAGGUGGUGCAUGGCUGUCGUCAGCUCGUGUCGUGAGAUGUUGGGUUAAGUCCCGCAACGAGCGCAACCCUUGUUCACUGUUGCCAGCACGUUAUGGUGGGGACUCAGUGGAGACCGCCGGGGUCAACUCGGAGGAAGGUGGGGGUGACGUCAAGUCAUCAUGCCCCUUAUGUCCAGGGCUUCACGCAUGCUACAAUGGCUGGUACAGAGAGUGGCGAGCCUGUGAGGGUGAGCGAAUCUCGGAAAGCCGGUCUCAGUUCGGAUUGGGGUCUGCAACUCGACCUCAUGAAGUCGGAGUCGCUAGUAAUCGCAGAUCAGCAACGCUGCGGUGAAUACGUUCCCGGG